CAGUUCGGAUUGUAGUCUGCAACCCGACUACAUGAAGCUGGAAUCGCUAGUAAUCGCGGAUCAGAAUGCCGCGGUGAAUACGUUCCCGGGUCUUGUACACACCGCCCGUCACACCAUGGGAGUCGGAAAUGCCCGAAGUCUGUGACCCAACCUGAGAGGGAGGGAGCGGCCGAAGGCAGGUCUGAUGACUGGGGUGAAGUCGUAACAAGGUAUC
rnacentral:rRNA from 1 species